rfam:Shewanella baltica OS185, complete genome.
UUAUCAUUGAUGAUUGGUUUGAAAGAAGCCGCUAGCAAAUUUGCGAGCUGAUGAACAAGAACAUCAUAUGAGGCGUAGGCUAGAGGUGAGUUGGCAGGGCCUUCCCCACUAAGUAAGGGGACAAGACGACGAAACCACGUGAUCUAAUGGCCACCGUAAAUGAGCAACCAGCCUUCAACCGCGAUUUAU